UUUGAAGGAGCACUGAUGUCACCAGUGCACGUAAGGAAAAUGUUCAUUGGAGGCCUUAGCUGGGAUACUACGAAGAAAGAUCUUAAGGACUACUUCACAAAAUUUGGAGAAGUUGUGGACUGUACCCUGAAAUUAGACCCUAUUACAGGGCGGUCAAGAGGCUUUGGCUUUGUGUUGUUCAAGGAAUCUGAGAGUGUGGAUAAGGUCAUGGAUCAGAAGGAGCACAAACUGAAUGGUAAAGUGAUUGAUCCCAAGAGAGCUAAAGCAAUGAAAACAAAAGAGCCAGUCAAAAAGAUUUUUGUUGGAGGGUUGUCUCCUGAUACACCAGAAGAGAAAAUAAGGGAAUACUUUGGUGGCUUUGGGGAGUUGGAAUCGAUAGAGCUUCCGAUGGACAACAAAACCAACAAGCGCCGUGGAUUUUGCUUCAUUACUUUCAAAGAGGAAGAUCCAGUAAAGAAGAUUAUGGAGAAGAAAUACCACAACGUUGGUCUUAGUAAAUGCGAAAUAAAAGUAGCAAUGUCAAAAGAACAGUAUCAGCAGCAGCAGCAGUGGGGAACACGGGGAGGAUUUGCUGGAAGAGCCCGUGGCAGAGGUGGAGGCCCCAGUCAAAGUUGGAACCCAGGAUACAAUAAUUAUUGGAAUCAGGGUUAUGGCAACUAUGGAUACAACAGCCAAGGGUACGGUGGCUACGGAGGCUAUGACUACACAGGAUACAACAACUAUUAUGGAUAUGGGGAUUAUAGUAAUCAGCAGAGUGGUUAUGGGAAAGUAUCUCGGCGAGGAGGUCAUCAAAAUAGCUACAAACCAUACUAAAUUAUUCCAUUUGCAGCCUAUCCCAACAGCGGGAACUUCCUUGCAGGCCCUGUGUCGCGCUGACUUCCCGAUUCUCACAGGCCCGCUCAAUGCGGACAGGGUACGAGAUGCUCACGCUCUCGAAUGCUGCCGUUUGGUGGACAAGCAGUAUUCUCAUUUGAAGAUUCAUUUGAGGUGGCUCAUGCUGCCUGCUAAUAGCAGUUCAAACUAAUUUUUUUGUAUCAAGUCCCUGAAUUGGAAGUAAGAUGUUGGUCCCACUGAAGUUUGAUUGCGUUCUCAUUACAACAGAGUUGCUUUCACCAUCUUUUUAAUUGCUACGCUUAAGGAUCUAUUUGAUUUACGCCCCACACCCAUUUUGUUCCCCAGUAUUGUAGAAAAAGUCUUGUGUUUAAAGCCCAGUGUGACAGUGUCAUGAUGUAGUAGUGUCUUACUGGUUUUUUAAUAAAUCUUUUUGUAUAAAGGUG